UACGAACGCUGGCGGCGUGCUUAACACAUGCAAGUCGAACGGAAAGGCCCUGCUUUUGUGGGGUGCUCGAGUGGCGAACGGGUGAGUAACACGUGAGUAACCUGCCCUUGACUUUGGGAUAACUUAAGGAAACUGGGGCUAAUACCGGAUAGGAGCUCCUGCUGCAUGGUGGGGGUUGGAAAGUUUCGGCGGUUGGGGAUGGACUCGCGGCUUAUCAGCUUGUUGGUGGGGUAGUGGCUUACCAAGGCUUUGACGGGUAGCCGGCCUGGGAGGGUGACCGGCCACAUUGGGACUGAGAUACGGCCCAGACUCCUACGGGAGGCAGCAGUGGGGAAUAGUGCACAAUGGGCGGAAGCCUGAUGCAACAACGCCGCGUGCGGGAUGACGGCCUUCGGGUAGUAAACCGCUUUCGCCUGUGACGAAGCGUGAGUGACGGUAAUGGGUAAAGAAGCACCGGCUAACUACGUG
rnacentral:rRNA from 1 species